CACGUGACCCCUCCAGCCCCACCGAGCUUAACAGGGUCUCCGUCUGUUGGAAAGAUGUCCGUGUUUUAAAACGUCAGCAUUAAGAAAAAGAGGAUUCCUUCAUGAGUCUCACAGGAGCCACAAUUUAGCGUCCAAUUCUUGAGCUAAGAGAUCCACAACGAAAUUGUGAAAAUGUAUUCUUAUGCAGUCUUUGUGUAGUAUCAAAUGAUUGAGUUAGACAUGUAUGUUCGCAGCUGUGUUUUAAUAAAUGUAUACCCAGGUUCCAUA